rnacentral:rRNA from 1 species
AUUGAACGCUGGCGGCAGGCCUAACACAUGCAAGUCGAGCGGCAGCGGGAAAGUAGCUUGCUACUUUUGCCGGCGAGCGGCGGACGGGUGAGUAAUGCCUGGGAAAUUGCCCAGUCGAGGGGGAUAACAGUUGGAAACGACUGCUAAUACCGCAUACGCCCUACGGGGGAAAGCAGGGGACCUUCGGGCCUUGCGCGAUUGGAUGUGCCCAGGUGGGAUUAGCUAGUUGGUGAGGUAAUGGGUCACCAAGGCGACGAUCCCUAGCCGGUCUGAGAGGAUGAUCAGCCAAACUGGAACUGAGACACGGUCCAGACUCCUACGGGAGGCAGCAGUGGGGAAUAUUGCACAAUGGGGGAAACCCUGAUGCAGCCAUGCCGCGUGUGUGAAGAAGGCCUUCGGGUUGUAAAGCACUUUCAGCGAGGAGGAAAGGUCAGUAGCUAAUAUCUGCUGACUGUGACGUUACUCGCAGAAGAAGCACCGGCUAACUCCGUGCCAGCCGCCGCAGUAA